UCUGGCUCAGGACGAACGCUGGCGGCGUGCUUAACACAUGCAAGUCGAACGGAAAGGCCUCUUCGGAGGUACUCGAGUGGCGAACGGGUGAGUAACACGUGGGCAAUCUGCCCUGCACUUCGGGAUAAGCCUGGGAAACUGGGUCUAAUACCGGAUAGGACCUCAAGACGCAUGUCUUCUGGUGGAAAGCUUUUGCGGUGUGGGAUGGGCAA
rnacentral:rRNA from 1 species